UUUGGUUGCCUCCUUUUCCUCUUGUGAUUUUGUUGCAAGAUCUCAGCCCAUAGAGGACUGAUCCAAAGCAUGGGUCUUUUAUCCCUGCAUUCCUGCAUCAAAGGACAGAGUUUGGUGAACGUUCCCAUCCUGUAAAAGCUGGUGUGCUGGUGGUGCAGGCUUAGCAAAUAAAAAAUGUCCGUUGUGUCCAGAGGUAAAGAAUAAAGACCAGGAGAAGAAAAAGAGGCCAAAUAUGAGACUUUUCUCAUUUUAGCCUCCAACGUGUUACCUUGUGUUUCGACCCUCGCCUGGACCUUGACC